GUGUUUUGCGAGACUCCGAGCUGCUGGAGCCUGCUUAUUUACAAGGCUCUUUUAUUGAUUGCAUUGAGCAAUGGAAGCUGGAGCGUGGAGCAGCCGGGCGGCGGAUGGGAUGGUGCCUCUGGAACUCAGUUUCUGCAAGGAAAAUUACGCAGCAUCAUUCAGCUCUGCUGACUCCACCCACACACAAUUUCCUGCCUGUGGGCUCUGGAGACUUUCAGCAGCUUUGAGACCCAGGGAACGGAUUCCCCCGGCAAUGGCCAACAAGAGCAGGGGAACAGACGUGGAAAAUAUUUUUGCAACAGUUUUCCAUCCUCCGUCUGACCGCCGAGCCAAGCGGAGGGGACAAGAGAGAGGUUUUUCAAAGAGUUUUGGCCUCCCGAGAGCCCAAAAGACCAAAUCCUCCCCCCACCUCCGGAGAAAUGCCCACCGCCUCGGGGAGAAAAGAAAUCACGCACUCGGCUUCUCAAAGCUGAAGCCGGGAAAAGGAAAGGCCGGUGACUCUUCCCACCUCUCGAGAAGCCCCGAAUGUUAGGAUAAGAGCGAGGGGCAGAGCUUUGGCGUGGAAGGAAAUGUGCGAAGAGAGAGAAAGAGAAACAAACUUUGAAAAGCGCGAGUCAAUUGGAUUCAUUCUCCACAAGCCUACCUCUCGCCCUAGUAAGAAUCCAGGUUUCUCCAGUGCGGGAACGCCCUCCGGGCGUCCAUGAAGAGGACCAAAGAAUCCCCCAAAGAAAAAUAAAAUACCGGAGGAAGCUAUUUCUGGCUCUUUUUUGUCUUUUCUUCCCGAAUUGGGGUCUAGGAGAGGUCCGCGAUGAUUCCCGUUCCUGGUCCUCCAAGUUGUUCCCUUUGGUGUUUUCGGAUUUUUUUUUAAAAAAAAAAAGGUUCGGGGGGUCUCUAGGAGGGGGAGUGGGUUUUAGGCUCCGGUCCUGGCUUUGCAAGGGAGUACGAGCUUCCUGCUCCCGACUGUAUUAACAGCGGAGCUUUCUUAAGAAAAUGCUUGUCAUGGCAACAGCUACUCCCCAAUCCUGCCAGACUCCCUCUCUCUCUUUCUCCUUGUCUCUCUCUCUCUCCUUUCUCUCCUUUCUCUUCCUCCCUCCCUCUCUCGUGCUCUCGCUCUCUCUCUUCCAACCCAGGGAGGAGGAGGAGGAGGAGGAGCAGAAGGUGGGACUUGGAUGAAUGCCCAAAGAUUACUCUCUCAUUAAGGUGGUCUGAUUCUUCGCCACUACUACCUCCCGCUUCAUUUUAAGGGGGAAGAAGGAAAACCCAGGAAGGGUUGAAUUCCCCCAGCCUCCGCUUCCAUGUUUGCGGAGACCACCGACCGCCCCAAAGACAGAUGGAUUUGAGAGCGAAUUACACCCCGGUGGUCUGUGGAAGGCCAGAUGACUCGACUUAGAGGAGCAUAUUUUGGACACAUAAUCGGGGGGACCGAUUUUCUGGAGAAGACGCUCAUGCUAGGAAAAGUCCAGGGAAAAACGUGGAAGAGGCAGAUCGGCAGCUAGAAGAAUAGAGACCAUAACAACGAUAACGGAAGAACCAUUAGAAAGGCUGCGGAUUAUGCCAGAGGACAGGACGUUCUAGAGAAAGUAUAUCCAGGGAGUUGCUAUGAAUCGGAAACGACUCCACGGCACUUAAUAAUAAUAAUAAUAAUAUUACACUUCCAUUGCUCUC
rnacentral:lncRNA from 1 species